rnacentral:rRNA from 1 species
UGCUGAACUUAUACCCGUUACUGUUGCCUCGUGCGUCAGGCCGGCCCUCCAUCCUUGGGGGGCCCCUCGUCCCCGGACGAGGAGCAGUGCCCGCCGGCGGCUACCUAACUCUUGUUUUUAACGCGGAACUCUGAGUAAAAAUUCAAAAUGAAUCAAAACUUUCAACAACGGAUCUCUUGGUUCUGGCAUCGAUGAAGAACGCAGCGAAAUGCGAUAAGUAAUGUGAAUUGCAGAAUUCAGUGAAUCAUCGAAUCUUUGAACGCACAUUGCGCCCUCUGGUAUUCCGGAGGGCAUGCCUGUUCGAGCGUCAUUUCAACCCUCAAGCCUGGCUUGGUGAUNGGGUACUGCCUCCUAGCGGGGGCAGGCCCUGAAAUUCAGUGGCGAGCUCGCCAGGGACUCCGAGCGGUAGUUAGUUAAAACCCUUCGGCUCUGGAAAGGGACUUGGCAGGGUGCCCUUGACCGNUUAAAGCCCAUCCUAAAUUUUCUGAACAAAUUUGACCCUUCAGGGAUUCAAGGGUUAAGAAAUUACACCGGCCUUGGAAACUUUAA